GUGUCAGCAGCCGCGGUAAUACGGAGGAUCCAAGCGUUAUCCGGAUUUAUUGGGUUUAAAGGGUGCGUAGGCGGCCUGUUAAGUCAGGGGUGAAAGACGGUAGCUCAACUAUCGCAGUGCCCUUGAUACUGAUGGGCUUGAAUGGACUAGAGGUAGGCGGAAUGAGACAAGUAGCGGUGAAAUGCAUAGAUAUGUCUCAGAACACCGAUUGCGAAGGCAGCUUACUAUGGUCUUAUUGACGCUGAGGCACGAAAGCGUGGGGAUCAAACAGGAUUAGAUACCCCCGUAGUCC
rnacentral:rRNA from 1 species